rnacentral:rRNA from 1 species
UGAGCAAUCUGCCCUUCACAUCGGAAUAACCAUUGGAAACGAUGGCUAAUACCGAAUAUGACUUCGGAUCGCAUGAUCUGAAGUGGAAAGCUCCGGCGGAGAAGGAUGAGCUCGCGGCCUAUCAGCUAGUUGGUGUGGGUAAUGGCCCACAAGGCGACGACGGGUAGCCGGCCUGAGAGGGUGACCGGCCACACUGGGACUGAGACACGGCCCAGACUCCGUACGGGG